rnacentral:tRNA from 1 species
GCCCCUGUAGCUCAGCGGAAAGAGCGCCUGGCUACGAACCAGGAGGUCGGACGUUCGACUCGUCCCAGGGGUAC